GACUGUUAAUACCGCAUAAUGUCUACGGACCAAAGUGUGGGACCUUCGGGCCACAUGCUAUCGGAUGCGCCUACGUGGGAUUAGCUAGUUGGUGAGGUAAUGGCUCACCAAGGCGACGAUCUCUAGCUGGUUUGAGAGGAUGAUCAGCCACACUGGAACUGAGACACGGUCCAGACUCCUACGGGAGGCAGCAGUGGGGAAUAUUGGACAAUGGGCGCAAGCCUGAUCCAGCCAUGCCGCGUGUGUGAAGAAGGCCUUCGGGUUGUAAAGCACUUUCAGUANGGAGGAAGCGNUGAGUGUUAAUAGUACUCANCGUUGACGUUACNUACAGAAGAAGCACCGGCUAACUCUGUGCCAGCAGCCGCGGUAAUACAGAGGGUGCAAGCGUUAAUCGGAAUUACUGGGCGUAAAGCGCACGUAGGCGGUUUUUUAAGUCAGAUGUGAAAGCCCCGGGCUCAACCU
rnacentral:rRNA from 1 species